AUGGCUUUUUGUUUUAGAUAAAAAGUUUGGCCUGCUCCCUGAAAAUUAAAGAGCUGCAGUAUUAUGACUGUACAAAGGUAGCACAGUCAUUAGUCUUUUAAUUGAAGACGGGUAUGAAAGGUUUUACAGAGAGACUCUUUUUUGGUUUUAUGAAGACUGAAAUUUUCUUUUUCGUGAAAAGACGAAAAUAAACAUAUAGGACAAGAAGACCCUUUUAAAGUUUACUUAGCUUAGGACACUUAUAAAUAUAAUAAUAUUAAUAUCUAGAGUUAGGUUUGGCUGGGGCGGCAAAUAGAAGAUGACACUAUUUUAAAUAAACAUUUUAAGUGGCUAUACGAGAGAGUCUGAAGAAGAAGGACCCAAGAAAAAGUUACUGAAGGGAUAACAGCGUAAUGUAGCUUGAGAGUCUUAUGACG
rnacentral:rRNA from 1 species